UGGGAACCUAUUUCGGCCGCUGUGCAUUC
rnacentral:sRNA from 1 species